UACGUAGGGAGCAAGCGUUGUUCGGAUUUACUGGGCGUAAAGGGCGCGUAGGCGGCCUUGUAAGUCCUGUGUGAAAUCCCCCGGCUCAACUGGGGAACUGCACAGGAGACUGCUUGGCUUGAGUUCGGGAGAGGGAAGCGGAAUUCCGGGUGUAGCGGUGAAAUGCGUAGAUAUCCGGAGGAACACCGGUGGCGAAGGCGGCUUCCUGGACCGACACUGACGCUGAGGCGCGAAAGCCAGGGGAGCAAACGGG
rnacentral:rRNA from 1 species